UACGAAGGGUGCAAGCGUUACUCGGAAUUACUGGGCGUAAAGCGUGCGUAGGUGGUUUGUUAAGUCUGAUGUGAAAGCCCUGGGCUCAACCUGGGAAUGGCAUUGGAUACUGGCGAGCUAGAGUGCGGUAGAGGGUAGUGGAAUUCCCGGUGUAGCAGUGAAAUGCGUAGAGAUCGGGAGGAACAUCUGUGGCGAAGGCGACUACCUGGACCAGCACUGACACUGAGGCACGAAAGCGUGGGGAGCAAACGGG
rnacentral:rRNA from 1 species